rnacentral:rRNA from 1 species
CCUACGGGAGGCAGCAGUAAGGAAUAUUGGACAAUGGACGCAAGUCUGAUCCAGCCAUGCCGCGUGAAGGAUUAAGGCCCUCUGGGUUGUAAACUUCUUUUAUAGGGGACGAAAAAGGGCUUUCUAGCUCGACUGACGGUACCCUAUGAAUAAGCACCGGCUAACUCCGUGCCAGCAGCCGCGGUAAUACGGAGGGUGCAAGCGUUAUCCGGAUUCACUGGGUUUAAAGGGUGCGUAGGCGGGCAUUUAAGUCAGUGGUGAAAUCUUCGAGCUCAACUCGGAAACUGCCAUUGAUACUAUUUGUCUUGAAUAUUGUGGAGGUGAGCGGAAUAUGUCAUGUAGCGGUGAAAUGCUUAGAUAUGACAUAGAACACCGAUUGCGAAGGCAGCUCGCUACACAAAUAUUGACGCUGAGGCACGAAAGCGUGGGGAUCAAACAGGAUUAGAUACCCUGGUAGUCCACGCCCUAAACUAUGGAUACUCGACAUUUGCGAUACACAGUAAGUGUNUGAGAGAAGANAUAAUAUACCACCNCGGAGACGACCGCGAGUAGUAACGUACGAAGAAGUAGAGACGUGAGAGNGCGACGGACGACGACGAGGGAGGAGG